rnacentral:tRNA from 1 species
GUUGUCGUGGCCGAGUGGUUAAUGCGAAGUCUCGAAAUCUUUUGGGAUCCCGCGCAGGUUCGGAUCCUGCCGACAUCG